rnacentral:rRNA from 1 species
AAACUUGAGAGUUUGAUCAUGGCUCAGAACGAACGCUGGCGGCAUGCCUAACACAUGCAAGUCGAACGAUUGCCUUCGGGUGAUAGUGGCGCACGGGUGCGUAACGCGUGGGAAUCUGCCCCUUGGUUCGGAAUAACAGCUAGAAAUGGCUGCUAAUACCGGAUGACGACGUAAGUCCAAAGAUUUAUCGCCGAGGGAUGAGCCCGCGUAGGAUUAGCUAGUUGGUGUGGUAAAGGCGCACCAAGGCGACGAUCCUUAGCUGGUCUGAGAGGAUGAUCAGCCACACUGGGACUGAGACACGGCCCAGAC